rnacentral:lncRNA from 1 species
UGGAAAUCAAGCUCAGUGCCAACAAAUUGGUCUCUCCUUGGAAUGUUACCUGGACUUAUCCGAAAUGCUCAUCGUGUCCUUGAAUAUGCAGUUGAUGUUCUUGUAGAAACUAAGGGCACAAUUGAGUUCCAUGGUCCUGUUCUUGCCAACAUGAACAUAUUAAUUACUAGUGAUCCUGCAGAUAUCCACCACACCCUUAGUAGAAAUUUCUCAAACUAUUCAAAGGGGCUUGUGUUCCGUAAAAUUUCAGACAUUGGAAAAUGGGAUCUUGAAUGUUGUUUCGGAGAUUCAUAGGAAGAACACCAUGUCCUUGAUGGGACAUUGCUAGAAAGGAACACAUGGGACACUAUUGAAAAAGGGCUUGACCAAUUCUUGAUGCUUUUGCAGAACAAGGGACCCCAUAUGAUUUGCAAGACAUUUUUCGAAGAUUCACUUUUGAUGCAAUUACCAAAUUGACUUGACCAUGAUCCAAGAAGUUUAUCUAUUGGUUUACCUCAUGUGCCAUGUGAAAAGACAUGCAAUAAUGUUGCGGAUACACUUAUGCACAAAUAUAUCUUACUAGAAGUUUGUUGGAAAUUGCAAAAUUGGCCUCACAUUGGUAAAGAGUAAAAACUCGUUCAAGCAUGGAAAGCUCUUGAUCAAUUUCUAUAUCCUUGCAUUUCACAUAAGCAAGAGGAUUUGAUGAACAAAACAAUCAAAGACGAGGACUUCGACAUAUUAGCUGAAUAUGUUAAAGCAUACAACCUAUGGAAGAAUAGAGUUCCGAGGAAUGUACAAGAAUUUCUGAGGGAGACUUUCUUGAAUUUGAUGUUUGCUGGGACACCACAAGUGCAACUCUCACUUGAUUUUUGUAGCUCUUACCUAAAAGUCUCUUAGUAGACACAAGGAUUAGGAAAGAAAUUCAACCACAAUCAUCUAAAAGAAGAUAAAAACCUCAAGUUUCUCAACAUAGAAGAAAGACAAACUAGUCUAUCUAUUUGGUGCUUUGUGCGAAACUCUUUGGCUAUUCCCACCAGCAAUGUCUUUCAUUCACAGAUUUCCACUUAAACUUGACAUUCUUUCAAGCGGUCACCGUGUUAAUCCAUGUAUGUGAAAUCGUUCUAUACAAAGGGGAGAAUGAAAACUACAAACCUGUACCUUUUUCAAUUUGUCAUUCGGUCCCUCUGUAUUCCACGAAGUUUCAUCAAAACAAUUCAACUUGAUCAAAACCUAUGUUUUAAACUCCUGUGACCGUUGACGGAGAAUAUGUGGCAACUUGAACGCUGAGUUGGACAAAAUGUGUAUAAUUCAUUAGAUUAAAAAAGAGACCAAAAUAAGACGGGAAAACAAAAUAAAACAUUUGCACCUCGUUUCCCCUUCUUCCCCAUUGAUGUCUCCACCCAAAAUCCCACACCGGAAAUUUCAUCGGAAAAGCUCACCUCUCCAAAUCUAACACCACCUUUGCACCACCAGUAACCUUUACCUUAUUCUCCUCCAUCCAUGGACUCAGAAACAACAGAAGAAAACUUGCAUCGCCUGAGGCAGCCCCUACAGGCCUACACCACCGCCAGAGUAGAUUGGAAAGGUCAUCAACAACACAUUCCUUCCAACUCUUCUCGUUGGGAAUCAUCACUGUCACCGCCGACCUUCACCACUCGUCCAUCAGCUUUUUCUUCUUAUCAUCCACCAAAGAAAAAUCAACGGGACAGAGGAGAGAAACCUUCACUUCAUACGAUUCAAUUUUUUUAUAAAUUUAAAGAUUGUAUUUUCUUGAUCUAUUGAUUGCAGAAAAUGGGAAAAGUUUUAGGAUUUUGGUUGCUGAAAAAGGGGGAAGAUGACAAAAAUUUAGACUUUUAUUCUUCUUAACCAUUGAACAAUACCCUAAAAAUUUCAAGAGAGUAUGAACGAGUGAAGUGUGACUUUGAAGGUUAUUGUUGAGUAGGAGAAGAAGGUGCGAAAAAAGGGAAUUAGUCUUAGGGAGGUGGGGUAAGGAGGAUAACGGAGAGUAUUUGGGAGAAUGAAGGGGUGAUGGUGUUAUCAUGUCGUAUGUGGCAUUCGGAUUUGGGUGCGAAGAGUACACAAGAUUGUAGGAAGAUGGAUCCUAAUGGGAUUGUAGUGCUUCAUCAGACUGAUAUUGGUGAAUAUUUGAGGAUUUAGGAUGAGCUUUAAUUUUAAUUUUUGGUUAUUCUUUUUUGACAUGGUAUUAAUUAUCUAAUGUGUAAUGCAUGUAAGAGCGAGUGAGGAAUAUGCAGUGUGGUUGUGGGGGGGGGGGGGGGUAGGGGUUUAAACAUAGGUUUUGAUCAAGUAAAACUGUCUAGAAGAAACUUCUUAGAGUACAUGAACCGGGGUGACAAACUGAAAAAAGUACAUGGUCUACUAGGCUAUUCUGCCAAAACAAUACGGGGAAAAGAUUGCUUAGAAUUCAAGUCAGAGAUACAGAUUUUGGAGCAAGGAUGGAUCAAACAUGAGUCAUUUUCCAGAUUCCCAGCUUUUAAUGCAUGUCCAAGGAUUUGCUCGGGGAAGGAAAUGACAUUCACUCAAAUGACAAUAGUGGCAGCCACCAUCAUAUAAAGCUAUCUUAUCCAACUAGUGGAACCACAAAAAAUUUCUCCAAGUACUUCAAUUAUCCUUCAAAUGAAACAUGAUCUGAAAGUUAGGUUCCUCUUAGAUCCAGCUAAGCGGCCACAGAUAAAAUGCAGUACCUUAUUCAAAAUAAAAUGUGUUAAACUGAUACCAAAUGCAUGUAUAAUCUUUAACUACUUUAGAGAAUUCGAAUGAAGUUGUUCAUUUUCCUUAUUUGCUUGAAAUUAUUGUUUACUACAUAGAUAGAAUAUGCCCACAUUCAACGAUAAGAUUGUUUAACCAAAAAUAGAUUUCUCGGUCAAAGUCAAUAUUUAGAAGAAAAAAGGUUAUUGAUAACCAAGAUUUACUUCACUUUCCUAACAAUUUUAGGAAGAAUAGAUCGAAGUAUGGAAAUAAUUAACAAAAAAAAAUUAGAGAAUGAACUGACAAUCACUACUCGAAACCAAGACUUAAAACUUGUAGAGUAAGCAAAGAAUAAUAGUAUGUAUUUCAGUAAUAAUCGUAACCUCCGUUUACAAAUGAAAUUCUUAUCCUUAUAUAGGAGAAUAUAAUCAUAACGGUUCUCACACUUAAUUUGGACUUAUUAAGGGCAUUAAUUGUAUUGAUUGCCCGUUAUCAUAGAUACCCAUAACUGGCAUAUUUAUGACUAAAGAGUCCUCAUAACUACUCUGAUUCCCCUUCCUUAUUUAUUCCUAGUUCAUGUAUCUUCCCUUCUUUGCAGCCUUCAUUCAUUUCGUUCCCGUUUCUCUUUUGACAACUGGCAGGCCCGGUUCUUUUCUCUAUGCUACCCCGUGGGUGGUUUUCCCGUACCUUCCUUGCAUUCUUAAUUCAAUUAAUUGAGAGUUCCACUUGUCGCUAUAUCGACGCUCCACGCGUCAUGCCUCGUCAUCUUACUGAUGUUCCACAUGUAAUGUCUUUUUUCCACCAAUAUAGAUAGUCCCCCCACUUUCUGAAUAUUCUCAACUGAAUGUUCGGGAACUGGUAAGUUUUUAUGGCGGGAAUUCCUUGCCGCCAUUUCUCGAGUAUCAUCAUGUCUCCUUCAAAAUCGAUGUGACGUAAGUCACGUCUAUUUAAUGCCCAUGCCACGUGGCUUCUCACAAUUGGAUCUGCAGUUUCUCAAGGCUUUUUAGGGUUUUUCCGCGACUGCGUCAGUCACGAAGUGACGAUUCCAUUAUGACGCUUCAUAAUGAUCAAUUUUAACGAUGGUCGUAUCUUCUUAUAAAUACUUCAUUCUUUUUUAUUUCUUGGAGUCUUCCUUCUUCAGUAUCCAUUACAUUACUCCUUUGUAUUUCUGCACCCUUUCUUCCUUAUUCCCUUGGAUAACCAUGUCUUCGUCAACACCAGACCCCCGCAAAGUUGUGAUUGUUGAUGAACUUUCUCCUUCUACUGCCCCUAUUAGACGUAGGAGAGGUGGUAGACUUCAUAGCCUUGUAUCACUAGCUAAUCGUGGUUGUUGUUUCGUGAAUGAUUUUUUUCUCUCGUGGCUAGAAGUAAGAGAGUAUUGGUUAGUCCCGAAGAUGACCGAGACUGUGACUGGUAUGCCCGCUUUGUUGCUGCCCCCACUAGUGGAUUAGUGGGUGAAGAAAACAUGCCUUUUCCAGAAAAAUGGAACUUUGCACGUAAGUUUUCAUCUUUUUUUUUUUACAUGUCUCGAACUAUUUCAUGUGAUCACACAUUUAUUUUUCAGCAACCAUGGAAGUCUACGAUGAGAUUCCCGACUUCCGUGCUUGGGUAGAAAAGAUGUUAACUGUUGCUCUUAUAGACAAAAGAUCGUGAAAAUUUCUUUCUCAAAAGUUUGACUGGAAAGUGAAAACACAUGGUACUCUUUACCUUCAUUAUUAUUCUUCUUCUUUUACUCGUUCAUAUAAAAAAAAUUCAUCCUCCCUUUUUUUCCUUUAUCAAGGUUUGCUAUUCGUGGUAUUAGUCCCGCGUAUGUUACAUCAACCAGGCUUUCCGUGAAUCUUACUCAGGAACAGAGUUUAGGUGAUACUUCCUCCAAAAGGAAAACUGAUGAAACUUGUGGCUCUAAUGAUGAGGAAAAAAUAGAAUAAGGCUCUUUAGCGAGAAAUCGUGCGUUAGGAGACGCGUGAUUUCUGAUGAUGAAACUCCUGCUUCUUAUGAACCUCCAUCAAGCUCUGUUCCUUUCAGACUCAUAGAUGAGCCAGAAAGUGCUCCUUUAGUGAUUUCCGAUGAAGAUACUGCUAUUCCUUCGUCUAGUCCUGUUGAUAGGUUGUUUGCCCAUGGCUUCGAGGGUGAAGAAGGUUUCGGGCCUGUUUCUGAUGAAUUGCCUCUUGCUUCCCUUAUAAUUUCAUCUACCAUCAACCCCUCUGUGCCUUUACCUGAUGUUGCUCCAGUUGUUACUCCUGUGGCUGCUUCUCAUGUAGAAGCUGAACUUUCUGGCAGCAGAAGGGAGAUGAAAAGAGUUGUAAUUGAGGUCCCUGAAGGUAAGAAUUUAUUGAAAAAAUCUGGUCAAGCUGACGUGUUGUUGAAGCCACUGCUAGGCCCGUGGAGAAGGGGAAGUUAGAAAGCCAUAGCUCGCUAACCUUAAUGAAUGACAUUGUUCAUUCUUCUUUGAAGAUAUGAGUUUAAUUACACUUCCUUCUCUUUCCUCAUUCAUAACUUUUCCUUCCUCUUUUGCAAAUUAAUUUGAUUGGCACAGAGCUUAUGAAAAGAGUUUCUCAGGCUGACCAGCAAAUUAUUGAAUUGUGCAUCGAGGUUGACAACCGGAAAGAGCAAUUCGAAGGUCUUCAAUUGGAAAGGGACGUUCUUGCAGGAGAGAAAAGUGCUUUGGAGCGACAAAUGAGAAUGACUUCCGCUGAGUUAGCAGUCGAAAAAGCUUCUUCUAGUCAGGUCGAGAAGGAUAAAGAUAGACUGGAAUCCUCUUUUGCUGAACAACUUUCCAAGGCUACUCAAGAAAUAAGGGGUUUGAAAGAACUCCUUAAUCAAAAAGAGGUUUACACGGGUGAUUUGGUUCAGACACUUACCCAAGCUCAGGAAGAUCUCCACACCUCUACUGAUAAAAUUCAUUCUUGGAAAGUUCUCUCGCUCCUUUAAAGACAGCCUAUGAAGCCUCGAAAGAAGAAAAAGAAGAGUUGAGAGCUAAGAUUGAUCAGUGGGAGAAAAAUUAUGAGGCCCUCGAGGAUAAGUUAUCGCUGGAUGUUAGCUGGGCUUUCUUGAACACUCGCCUCGAGACUCUAAUUGAAGCCAACCAGGAGGGUUUUGACCUCAAUGCUGAGAUUGCUAAAACUCAUCAACGUCAAAGCUUUUCCUCACCCGAAGAUGAAGGUUCCAAAGGUAAUGGAGAUGGACUUGUUCCUGGCGGGGUUGAUGUUCAAGCCUCUUUUUCUCAAGUUAAUCCUUCUUCUCUCGUUGAUGAUGCUCCCGUUAAUGAUGCUCCUUAGCUUUUUCCUUUUCCCACUUUUUGUUAGAUUUUAUGCUAUUUUUCCCUUAGUUUAACAACUUUUUUGGAAGGUUUGUUUUUGGCUACCCCUGUCUUCUUUUUGGGGUUUAAUGACAAAUUAGCACCUCUGUUUUUCAAGGUUAACAUAUAUAAAUAUUUCGGUUGCCUUUGUCUCAUAUUAUGCUCUUUGUCUUUUUGAUAUUUGAGCUUUUUUUUGCAUUUACAAAUGCCUUAAUAACCCAUGACUUUGAUAAAGACGGGUUUUUAUAAAAGAGGACCCUUUUAUGUUAACGACACUGAUGAAGAUGACGUCUCAUCUUCAUAUUGGUGCAAAUAUAUGAAACAUGAAGUAGACAUAAAAAAGAAAUAAUUUGAGAAAGUUUUAUGUUUUGAACUUUCAAAUAAACUUCGUACAUCAUUUUCAUAACUGUUCGUACAACACUUUCAUAACUACUUUCAUUGUAGCAGAUUUUAAAAUACAAAAUCGGGUUUAUUAUCCCGUGACUAAAUUUUGGCCUUAACCUAAAACUCGUAGGAAUCUGGAAUAUCUUGCAUCUUUUUCGCGAGUUCAUACUCCUUUGAAAAAUUCAAGGUUUCUUCAAGGUUUUUGAUUCAUGCUGAACUGAAAUAUGCCUUUUUGGUUCUUUUGCAACCUUUUUGAGGACGAAGUCUCCAAUCUUGAAGUAUUUCAAAUUAGCUUUCUUGUUGUAAUAUCGUUCAAUCAUCUGCUUUUGAGUUGUCAUUCAAAUUAAUGUUGUUUCUCUCAUUUCUUCUGAUAGAUCCAAAUUUACUCGCAUCUCCUCCUUAUUUACUUCCUCAGUAGCAUGUGUGUAUCUCGUACUCGGCUCGCCUAUCUCUACCGGAAUCAAAGCUUUUGCACCAUAUACAAGUGAAAAAGGAGUUUCACCCGUACUUGUUUUUGUUGUCCUUCGAUAAGCCCAUAACACUCAUGGUAAUACUUCUGGCCAUUUGCCUUUUGAUUCUUCUAAUCUCUUCAAGUUAUUGAUAAUAACUUUAUUCGUUGAUUCAGCUUGUCCGUUGGCCGCAAGGUGGUAAGGUGCAGAUGUAAUCCGUUUAAUCUUCCAACUUUGAAAGAAUUCUGUGAUUUUCGUGUCUAUGAACUGCGGGCCAUUGUCACAUAAUUUACUUUGGAACCCCAAAUCGGCAUAUAAUGUUUUGCCAAAUAAAGUCCCUGACUUUUUUUUCCUCACCUGUUUGAAAGCACUUAUUUCUACCCAUUUUGAAAAAUAAUUUGUUAAGACUUAUAGAAACUGUACAUUUCCUUUAGCAUGAGGCAGCGGCCCUACAAUGUCCAUGCCUCAUUUCAUGAAGGGCCAUUGUGAAAUAACUGAAUGCAACAGAUCUGCUGGGCGGUGCAUGUUAUUGACAUAUCGUUGACAUUUAUCGCACCUUGCUACAAAGUUUUCUGCUUCUUCUUCCAUUUUUGGCCAAUAAUAUCUUGCUCUUAUUAAUGACCUUACUAAUGAUCUUACCCCGGCGUGAUUGCCUCAGUGUUCCUCAUGUACUUCUUUCAUCACAUACUCCGUUUGUGAUGGACCGAUGCACCGUGCUACGAUAUAAAUUUUCACGAAUUAAGCAAUACCAAACAGCUUUUUAACGAAGCAAUUGUGACUUCUUCUUGUCCUCAGGUAAGAUACCAUACUGCAAAAAGUUCACAAAUUCGUUUCUCCAAUCCCAAGUUAGAUUAUUAAAGUUUACCUCACUCUUAUAUUGGUCAAGUGCUGAAUGAAACAAAUGUAUCACGAUAGCAUUUUCUGCAUUUGUUACAUCCGUGACAGACGCGAGAUUUGUCAACGCAUCUGCUUCUGCAUUCUCUUCCUUGGGUCUCUGCAUGGCCUUCCGCGACUGAAAUUGUCAAAGCAAUUCCCGUACCUUUUUCACGUAUUGUUGCAUUCGUGUUUCUCUUGCCACGUAUGUCCCCUGCAUCUGGUUAACCACCAACUGCGAGUCACUUUUGAUCACAAUCUGCUCUAUAUCAAGUUCUAGCGCCAGUUCCAAAUCACAGCUUCGUAUUUUGCCUCAUUGUUAGUGAUUGGAUAACAUUUUAUUGCUUGUCUUAUGACUUCCCCGGAAGGUGAAAUUAGAACAAUUCCUAAACCCGCUCCUUUAACGUUUGAAGAACCAUCGGUAAAUAGAGUCCAAGUCCCCAGAUUAGCUCCGGCAAAUACCUGUAGUUCCUUUUCUGCUUCAGGAAGUAAAUUCGUGCUAAAAUCUGCUAAAACAUGCAAUUUUAUUGCAGUUCUGGGCUGAUAUAUGAUAUCAUACUCGCUGAGUUCUAUUGCCCAUUUAGCUAAUCUACCAGAUAGCUCAUGUUUAUGCAGUAUAUUCCUCAGGGGGGAAAGCAGUUAUUACAGAAAUAAGAUGACAAUGGAAAUAAGGUCUUAAAUUCCUAGAUGCCAUAAUUAACGCUAAAGCAUGGUUUUCCAAAUGGGGGUAUCAUGUCUCAGCAUCUAGCAAAGACUUACUAACAUAAUAAAUUGGGGAUUGUUUACCUUUAUCUUCUCGGACCAACACCGCACUUACCGCCACUUCUGACACAACGAGAUAAAUGAGAAGCCUUUCACUGUCUUUUGGUUUAGCUAGCAAAGGAGGAUUUGACAGAUACGAUUUUAGGUCCUUGAGCGCUUGUUGGCGUUCAUCAGUCCAUUCAAACUGAUUCUGUUUUCUCAAUACUGAAAAGAAUUUAAAACUCUUUUCUGACGAUUUUGAUAUAAAACUCCUCAGGGCUGCUAUCCUUCCUAUUAAUCUCUGCACUUCUUUUUUGCUCGUGAGUAUAUCUAGUAUUUCCUUGAUAGCUUUGAUUUGCGCAUGAUUCACCUCAAUACCCCUGUUAGAAACGAGAAAACCUAAAAACUUACCUGAAGCCACACCAAAAGCGCAUUUUUUCUGGAUUUAGCUUCAUAUUAUAUUUGCGGAGAAUCUCGAAAGUGUCCGAUAAUUGUUGAAAAUGAUCUACCGCAUGUGCUGACUUGACUAGCAUAUCGUCAAUGUAGACUUCCAUAGUUUUUUCCAGAUGUUCUUGAAACAUUUUAGUCACCAAUCUUUGAUACGUGGCUCCAACAUUUUUUAAAGCAAAUGGCAUGACUUUAUAACAAUAAGUCUCCCUGUCUGUGAUAAACGAAGUUUUUUCUUCAUCUAGAGGGUUCAUUUUUGUUUUGUUAUAUCCUGAAUAUGCAUCUAAAAAAUUCAAAAGCUUAUGUCCUGCGGUAAAAUCAAUUAGUUGAUCUAUAUGUGGCAAAGGAAAUGAAUCUUUAGGACAAGCCUUAUUUAGAUCAGUAUAAUCUAAACAAACUCGUCAUUUUCCAUUCUUACUGGGAACUACCACGGUAUUAGCUAACCAGUUAGGGUACUUUACCUCUCGUAUCGACCCAAUUUUUAAAAGCUUUUGUAUAUCAUCUUGGAUUACUUGAUUUUUGAAAGAUCCUUGCUUCAUCUUCUUCUGCUUGACAGAUGGGUAUGAUGGGUCCUCAUUUAGUUUGUGGGUCAUUAUCUCCGGUGGUAUACCUGUCAUAUCUGAAUGCGACCAAGCAAAGCAAUUUGCAUUAGUUUGUAAAAAUUCAAUUAACUUACCUUUCAUUUAUAGGCUUAAAUUUGCUCCGACGUAAAUUUUUUUGUCUAGACAAUGUGUAAAUAGCACUAUAACUUCAAGUUCUUCGGUAGUUGUCUUAAUAUUUUCAUUUUCCUCUGGCUGUUGAAUAACAUCGGGUCUUGAAUCAAUAUCAGUUUGUCCUGGUAUGCCUUCAGUUUAGGUCUUUGUAACAACGUCCUCAACCGAAUUAUUUCGUGUCUGCAUCAUUGGUUACCGCGCUUGCAAUUACCACUGAAUUGAUACUUCUUGAAGCUUGCUGAUCUCCACGGAUUUGACGGAUUCCCCACUAUGAAGGAAAUUUGAUAACUUGAUGCAAUAUGGACAGGACAACAUCCAUAUCGUGAAUCCACGGUCUUCCCAGAAUUAUAUUAUAGGCCAUGUCCGCGUCUAUCACCUGAAACUUUGUAUCCUUGACAACUCCUUCUGCGAAAGUGGUGAGUACAACUUCCCCUUUUAUGAUAACGCUGGAAUUAUCAAACCCGGACAAGGACCGUGCCUUUGGUAUCACCUUGUCAUUAGCUUGCAUUUCAUUCACCACCCUCAGUAAAAUGAUAUUCGCUGAACAACUUGGAUCAAUCAAAAAACUCGUUUUACGUUAGUAUCGUGUACAAGUAAAGAUAUUACUAGUGCAUCGCUGUGAGGAAUCAUCAAGUCGUCCGCAUAUUCAUCAUAAAAUAUUAUACUGUCAUUAUCCAAGACCCGGUGAACUCGCUUCCCGUCAGUGACCGUGACUUUUGACUUUGCAGACAUAUAUGUUACAUCAUUGACCUCAUCUCCCCCAGUUAUUACAUUGACUGUUGGGGGUUUCUGGGGUUCCUGUCUGUUCUUCAUAUAUGAUUAUCUUCCUUUCUCAUUGAACAAGUCAAUAAAUGCUCGACUUCUCCCAGAAGUCUACAAUCUGCUAUUCUAUGGCCAUGAUCAUUAUGAAACUCGCACUAGAAAUCUGGAUUUCUUCUUAUUGGAUUUGAUCUCAUUUCUUUAGGCCACUGCACCUUAUCCCCCAUACUUCUUAAAACAGCUACUAACUCGGAUGUGCUGAUAUUAAAGCUAUAAUCCCAUAUCCUUGCUUGAUUAUUGGAAUCAUCGUUUCGGGCAUCUCGUUCCUUUUUGAACUUAGAUGAAGAACUCGUACCUUUUUGCCUUGGUCUUGAGACGAAUCGUGCGUUUUCCUGUUUAGAUCGAGAGACUCGACCUACAGGUCCCAUGUAUGGCUCAUACCUGUCUUUUUCAGACCUUUUUUUUAUUCUGACCGUCUCAAUCCUAAUCUUUCAUUGACCCUUGGUUGUGCGACUGUAUCCUCUUUUAUCUGCAACUUCAUACUGUACAUGUUGUACACAUUGUUGUAAAUUCUCGCAAACUUUCCUUCAGCCUUCUCGUGGCUUCAGAACUUUUCUUGUUCAAAUUGCUCGCGAAUGCCAUAGCUGCCCAAUUACCAGGUACUCGAGGUAACAUCACCCUCUCCUGCUGAAAUCUAUCUACGAAAUCUUUGAGCAAUCUUGUACUCCCCUGCUUAACCUUAAAGAUGUCUUCCAUCCUUUUUCAACUUUUUGAGCUCCCGAAUGUGCUUUUAUAAAUAAAUCUGCAAGCUCAGGAAAAGAAUCAAUAGAAUUUUCAUAUAAAAGAGAAUACGAUGUUAAUGCUCCCUUCAUGAGUGUUUCACCAAACUUUUUGACCAGAACCAAUUCGAUCUUUUGCUUAGUUAAAUCGUUGCCUUUCACGCCAGUAGUGAAUGCAGUCACGUGGUCCCGAGGGUCAGUGGUUCCAUCAUAUUUUGGAAUAUCAGGUAUCUUAAACUUUUUAGGAAUUGGUAAAGGUGCUGCACUUGGCUUCCAGGGUUGUUGUGAAUACUUGUCAAUAUUCACCCCUUUGAUCACGGGAACCACGCCAGGUAUUUGUUCUAUGCGAUCAUUUUGCUCCUUCAAUUGUUUUGCAAAGUUAGUACUAAAUUUUAUAAAUUAGAAUUAUUUGGUGUACCUAACCCUCUAUCACGAGAUUCGUUAGGAAUUUCUCCAGUUCCAGAAUUGUCAAGCCUGAGCGCGGGUUUUCUAAGGUUGUUGUAUUGACCGGUGAAGGUGUUUGUGGCGUAUUGGGCAAUCCUAUGACAAAAGCUUGUAGUGCACUAUUCACGUGUUCCACAAUCAAUUGUUUUAGAGCGUCUUGCUCUACGGUUUGUUCGUCCCCUUGUUGAUCAUCAACGCGUGAUGUAGACCUUUCAGGUGAACCUCCACGGGAUUGCCGAGGGGACCACGUUGGUAAGUGGUGUGGUGGAGUUUCACCUUGUUGGUUUAGAUGGUUAUUCUCGUUAGUAGUUGACAUAACUGGUUGUCAAAAAAAUGAAAUUUGGAAAAUGAAAAGAUUAUCAGAUUCCCGGUAACGAAACCAAUUUGUUUAACCAAAAAUAGAUUUCUCGGUCAAACUCAAUAUUUAGAAGAAAACAGAUUACUGAUAACCAAAAUUUACUUCACUUUCCUAACAAUUUUAGGAAGAAUAGAUCGAAGUAUGAAAAUGAUUAACAAAGAAAAAUUAGAGAAUGAACUGACAAUCACUACUCAAAACCAAGACUUAAAACUUGUAGAGUAAGCAAAGAAUAAUAGUAUGUAUUUCAGUAAUAAUCGUAACCUCCAUUUACAAAUGAAAUUCUUAUCCUUAUAUAGAAGCAUAUAAUCAUAACGGUUCUCACACUUAAUUUGGAGUUAUUAAGGGCAUUAAUUGUAUUGAUUGCCCGUUACCAUAGAUAACCAUAACUGGCAUAUUUAUGACUAAAGAUUCCUCAUAAUUGCUCUGAUUCGCCUUCCUUAUUUAUUCCUGAUUCAUGUAUCUUCCCUUCUUUGCAGCCUUCAUCCAUUUCGUUCCCGUUUCUCUUUUGACAACUGUCAGGCCCGGUUCUUUUCUCUAUGCUACCCCGUGGGUAUUUUUCUCGUACCUUCCUUGCAUUCUUAAUUCAAUUAAUUGAGAGUGCCACUUGUCGCUAUAUAGACGCUCCACGCGUCAUGCCUUGUCAGCUUACUGAUGUUCCAUAUGUCAUGUCUUUGUUUCACCAAUACAAAGAUAAAGGUGAUUUGGUUAUGUCUUACAGCAUACAGCUGGAGACUAGUACACACAUUCAUGCGGAGGUUGCUGCUAUUUGUUAUGCUUCAUAGUAGUGUCAGUCGAACACAUCAAAUAAUUUUUUGGAAUUGUCAGCAACUCCAAGCAUUCAACUGCCAGAAAAUGUCAUUAUUGAAACUAUUUCUCAUAAGAGCUUCCAUAACAUCUUCAAUUCCCACUUUUUUACAAGAAGUCUCAAUAUCUUUCUUUUGUCCAAUUAAUAUAAAAACUUCAGUGCCCAAAGAUAACUGGUUAUAGUUAACAAGCUUCCCAGGGGUCCCAAGUCUCCUCAUUCUAAUUUUGAAAUAACUCAACAGAUCAGGACAACACCCUUGACCCAUAAGAGAUAAUCUUUUUAGUUCUAGGUCUAAAGAGUUUCAUUGACAGCUCGAUUUCCUCCCUAAGCCCUUUAAUGAAACUAGAUAAGAAAUUAGCAUCAUAAAGCAGGAUUUCUAACCAAGAAAUGAGCCAAGUGUUUCAAAUUCCUCUAAAUAAUCAAUAUAGUAUAUAUUUAAUUGGUUUGAACCAAUUUUCUGAUUAUCUUCAAUUUGUACGGGCGUGAUUCAUAAUGCAAAGAAAUUGAUAUACCUCUAGUUCCAUUAGUUCUGAAGAUUUGUUCCCUUCCCCCCUCAGAAACUUUGUUAUUCUAUAAAUUUUGGUCCUAUAAGCCCUUCAAAACAACAUAUCAAUAUUUAGCACUCUUGUUGAGCAACAUCAUAAUAUUAUUGUCAUAUCCUAAAACAAAAUAGAUCCAUUAUAAUAUACAGGGGCUGAUGUAGUCUUUUGGCCACGGAUUCAUCUAAAACCAUAACUUUCGACAAGAGCAUAUACACAUAUACACCAGAAAGGUUUUAGUCUCUCCAAACUAAAUCCAUAUACUCCAUUCAUCUUGCAGCCUAAUUACAUCAGCUUUUGAUUGCCGUAACCUUCAAUGCCAACCAACAGUUCCUAUCAUUUAACAAUGCACAUUAACAUCCCAAAGCCCCCUGAAAAUGAAAUUUUACUUCCUCGCAUGGGUGAAACUUCCAAAUCAAACUUUCCACGAAAACUACCGUAAAGAUGUUACUCCACCAUUAGGGCAAUAUGUUUAAUAAUGGAGAAAAUAGGGACAAGUUUUUUCGGCUAGUAUAUGUAAUAGUUUAGCUAGACUUGGUAAUCCUGGUAUCCUAAUUGAUGUCUCUUCUAUUAUGUAUUAUCCUUGAACUUUUUAUGCUAUAAUAUUAUCGUUCUUCCUACCACAAUAAAAUUAAAACAACUAGUCCUUGAGAAUUGAGAAGUGAAUAGUAAACUGAGAUGCAAUUAUUCUCUACUUAUCAUUAUUAAAGAAAAAAGUUAACUAUACAACAAAUUUUAAUCAACAUGCAUAGCUCAAUGUAUAAAACAUUCCCCAGUGUACAUUAAAAAAUGUCACAGAUAACAAUAAUAGCAUAGCAACUCAUAAUAUACUUGUUGAUAGAACAGCUCUGCAGACAGUUUAACCAUUAUAAUUUACAAACCGAUAAGGCUUUUUGCUGCUCCGUUCCAACAAGACUGUACAAUUCGCCUUAUGGUUUCAAUUAACUUUCAAUCCACAAACAACGGUCCUUAAUUUUCAGUUUUCAUACCUUGAAUUUAUUUUUUUCCCAUGCUUGAACUGAUUUAUAGAGGAAGAUGCUAUUAGCAAACUGUUAUUUGAUCAUGAUCCAAAACGUUUAAUCCAAUGUUGGUUUACAUCACGUGCCAUGCGAAAAGCCAUUCGACGACAUUGUGGAUGCAAUUUUUUACGGACAUAUCUUACCACAAGAUUGUUAGAAAUUGCAAAAAAGGCUUCACAUUGGUAAAGAGGAGGAGUUCAUUCAAGCAUCAAAAACUCUUGAUCAAUUUCUAUAUCCUUGCAUUUCACGUAAGCCAGAGGAGUUGAUGAACAAAACAAUCAAAGAUGAGUACUUCCGCAUAUUAACUGUCUAUGUAAAAGCAUACAACCUAUGGAAGAAUAUUGGAGUUUCGGGCAAUGUAAAAGAAUUUCUAAGUGAUUUUCUUGAAUUUGAUGUUUGCUGGGAGAGACAUCUCAAGUGCAGCUCUCACUUGAUUUUUCUUGCUCUUAGCUAAAAAUCCCUUAGUAGAGACAAGGAUCAGGGAAGAGAUUCAACAACUAUUGCUUUUAAAAGAAGAUGAAAACCUCAGGUUUUUCAACAUAGAAGAAACACGUAAACUGACCUAUCUACAAGGUGCUUUGCGCGAAACUCUUCGGCUAUUUCCACAAGUGCCUUUCAAUCACGAAGUGCCAUCUUCAACUUGACAUUCUUCCUAGCGGUCACAGUGUUAUUCCAAGUCCGAGAAUGGUGCUAUCGUUCUAAGUAAUGGGGAGAAUGGGAACUAUAUGGGGAAAAGAUUGCUUAGAAUUCAAGCCAAAAGAUGGAUUUCGGAGCGAGGAAUGAUUAAACAUGAGCCACUUUCAAAUUCUCGGCAUUUAAUGCAAGUCCAAGGACUUGCUUAGGGAAGGAAAUGACAUUGAUUCAAACAAAAAUAGUGACAGCCACCAUCAUAUACAAUUAUCACAUCCAACUAGUGGAACCACAAACAGUUUCUCCAAGUGCUUCUAUUAUCUUUCAAAUGAAAGAUAGUCUGAAAGUUAGGCUCGUCAAAAGGGUUCCUCUUAGGUCUAGCUAAGCAGCCAUAAAUAAAUUGCAGUACCUUAAUCAAAAUAAAAUGCGUUAAAACUGAUAGCAAAUGCAUGUAUAAUCUUUAAAUAUUUUAGAGAAUUCAAAUAGUAGUUGUUAUUUUUCCUUAUUUGCUUUAAAUUAUUGUUUACUGCAUAGGUAGAAUACGCCCACACUCAACGAUAAGACUGAAAGCUGUGCUAAUUUGGGAGCGAUUACAUGUUUCUGAAGUGUACUCUACCCUUUACCUUCUUUGUCUCUUGAACUAAUUUUUGCGGAUCUGAAUUGCGUUAUGAACCCGAUAAGCUCUCAAUCGCGCAGUCAUAGACUUGAGCGACCAGAGAGUUAGCAGUGUGCAGUAGUGGUGUCAUUUUCUUCAGAAGGCAACACAAUGCUAUAUCCCAGAAAUUAGGAUAAACCCUCAAUAAACAUCAGUGAUUCAAUAGGUACCUCAAUAGCGGCAUCAUUUUCUUCAGAAUGAAAGGAAUGACACGGCUUUGGCAUUUGCAAAUCCAUGUGGAAUGCAAAUAAAUGUUUUCGUUUGAGCAAACGAAUACAUCAACCAGAAAUUUAGGGGUGUCAAAAUGGUUAAAAGAAAACAGUUAACCACCCAUAUUNNNNNNNNNNNNNNNNNNNNNNNNNNNNNNNNNNNNNNNNNNNNNNNNNNNNNNNNNNNNNNNNNNNNNNNNNNNNNNNNNNNNNNNNNNNNNNNNNNNNNNNNNNNNNNNNNNNNNNNNNNNNNNNNNNNNNNNNNNNNNNNNNNNNNNNNNNNNNNNNNNNNNNNNNNNNNNNNNNNNNNNNNNNNNNNNNNNNNNNNNNNNNNNNNNNNNNNNNNNNNNNNNNNNNNNNNNNNNNNNNNNNNNNNNNNNNNNNNNNNNNNNNNNNNNNNNNNNNNNNNNNNNNNNNNNNNNNNNNNNNNNNNNNNNNNNNNNNNNNNNNNNNNNNNNNNNNNNNNNNNNNNNNNNNNNNNNNNNNNNNNNNNNNNNNNNNNNNNNNNNNNNNNNNNNNNNNNNNNNNNNNNNNNNNNNNNNNNNNNNNNNNNNNNNNNNNNNNNNNNNNNNNNNNNNNNNNNNNNNNNNNNNNNNNNNNNNNNNNNNNNNNNNNNNNNNNNNNNNNNNNNNNNNNNNNNNNNNNNNNNNNNNNNGGGUUUACCUUUUACAUUUGUAAAAUCUCAAAUUCGGGGUUCCUCAAGUUUGGGAUACUGUGAAUUCUCCCAAAAGUGAUCAUAUUUAUGAAGCCAUGGAUAAUAUGGGUAAGAAUGAUAUGGCUACCCAUAUAAUCCGCCGGUUAACCCGUUUUUUAUCCGUAUUAAAUAUGGGUUGGGUCGGAUAAUUUAUCCUUUUUUUCAUUACCCGUUUUCGACCCAUCCCAUAUCCGACCCUACCCACCUGUUUGCCACCCCUAAACAGAAUUUGCAUGAUGGCAAGUGUUUGGAAUUGUCAGAAACUCCAAGCAUUCAACUACCCAUACAAUGUAUUAAAACAAUUUCUCAAAAGAGCUUCCAUAACAUCUUCAAUUCCCAUUUUUUUACGGGAAGCCUCAAUAUCUUUCUUCUGUCCAAUUAAUAUUAAAACUUCACUACUUAAAGGUAACUAGUUACAGUUAAUAAGCUUCCCAGCGGUUUCAAGUCUCGCGUGUCGACAGUUCCUCAUUCUAAUUUUGAAAUAACUCAAAGAACAGGACACCGCCCUUGAUCCAUUAGAAAUAAUUCUUUUUGGCCACAGUUCUCCAUCUCCGGCCUUAAUGCCAUAUUCCUUUUGUUCCUCCGAAAUUUUUGCAUUUUUAUUAUGCAAAUCAAAAUCAAAAACUCUUGAGCUUACUUUGCAUUGGGCUAUAACCCAAAGUACAAUCAAAGAAGGCAACAAUAGCUCCUUCUAGGAGGUUGUUUGGCACUUGCAUUUGCAAUAAGUUUCGCGGCACUACUUGUGUUAUAUUCCCUGGAGCAGUAUCCACAUUUGAGAUGUCUGCAGUUUUCAGACCAGUUUCAUCUCUCUGAGGACCUUUAUCUUUCUGCCCCUUAUUUUCCAUGAUUUCAGUAGCAGGAAAUUCUAGUUCUAGAGUAGCCUUUCAUUUUUUAUCAUUGUAGUAUGGUUCUUCCUCUUCAUCCAAAAAUAAUCCUUGCUAAGUACUUAAUAGGUUUAGAUGCUUCUAUCACCUUGGAAGUAAAUUGCAAGGAACCAUAUUGAUUGUAUGAUCCUACAGUUUUUAUCAUCAUUCUCCUAUUCUUAAGAAUAGACACAAUUGCCUUUACUUGAAUUCUAGCUUGUUCUACAGCAUGACCUAAUGUACAAGGGCAAAACAGUUUUACGGACAACUUGAGUUCCUCCUAAAGCCCUCUUAUGAAACUAGAUAAGAAAUAAGCUUCAUUCAAAGCAAGAUUUCUAACCAACACUUGAGCUCUAAGUGUUUUAAAUUCCUCUAAAUUAUCCUCAACACUUCCCUUCUCAGUCAAUUUAUUAGAAUUUCAAAUACAUAGAUAGACAUUUAAAGUCUAAACCUAGAAAAUUUCUUGGUAACCUAGAAUUUAACCGUUGCAAUACAGGCACCAGAGCACUACUAUGCUGAAAUUGAAACUAAAGAAAGAAUGAUCAUUCAGAUUUGGCUCAAGAUUUAUUUGAAUACAAAGAGAAGAAACACAAAAGACCACGUAGGAUAUACUUUAAGUGUUCAUAUUCAUAAAUGAUUCAGAUAUUUCAUGACCUGAAUUUUAUAAAAACGUUAAUAUCAGAAUAAAAAAUUAGAGUAGGACAUAAUAUGCCUAUCCCCGUGAGAUACAAGAGGGACGAGGAAGAUUUCGCAUAGUUUACGAACCUCGAGAAAUCUCGCGAGAGAACAUCGCCGCCGCCGACCGGCAAAACUUUUUUGCAUCGGAGUAUCGCCGCCGACGAACUUACAUGUUGAGCUAGGGCUUUUAGUAUGCCCUAAAGUUCCUUCUCCCGAUGAGGGAGAGAGAACGUAAAAGAGUUUUCAUUGUGUAAAUACCGCUUUGAG